CGUGUAGGCGGCAGUAUAAGUCCGGAGUGAAAGUCCUGCUUUCAAGGUGGGAAUUGCUUUGGAGACUGUACAGCUUGAGUGCGGAAGAGGUAAGUGGAAUUCCCAGUGUAGCGGUGAAAUGCGUAGAGAUUGGGAGGAACACCAGUGGCGAAGGCGACUUACUGGGCCGUAACUGACGCUGAGGCGCGAAAGCGUGGGGAGCGAACA
rnacentral:rRNA from 1 species